ACUUACGGCCAUACCACUAUGAAAACGCCCGAUCUCGUCUGAUCUCGGAAGCUAAGCAGAGUCGGGCCUGGUUAGUACUUGGAUGGGAGANNGCCUGGGAAUACCAGGUGCUGUAAGCCG
rnacentral:rRNA from 1 species